ensembl:lncRNA
CUUUUUGCCAUUUCUAGGGCCGCUCCCGCGGCAUGUGGAGGUUCCCAGGCUAGGGGUCAAAUAGGAGCUGUAGCCUCCGGCCUACCCGGUAUCCGAGCCGCGUCUGCAACCUACACCACAGCUCACGGCAACGCUGGAUCGUUAACCCACUGAGCAAGGACAGGGACUGAACCCGCAACCUCAUGGUUCUUAGUCGGAUUCGUUAACCACUGCGCCACAACAGGAACUCCUAUCUAGUCACUUAUGAUGGAGCAUGAUGGAUAAUGUGAGAAAAAGAAUGUAUGUAUCUAUGUGUGACUAGGUCACUUUGCUAUACAGCAGAAAAUUGGCAGAACACUGUAAACCAACUAUAAUGGAAAAAAUAAAAAUCAUUAAAAAAAAAAAAAAAAGCCAGUUUACUGUAGGAGAAAAGUUACAGAGAAGUAAAAUGGGAAGGUUCUCAUGAACCCUGAUGGAGCUAGACUGGGGUCAGAGGCAUCAGUUAUGAUGCAUGCUUGUGUUCUAAAGAUAGACACAUAAAGAUGUGUGUAUGCAUGGGUUAGUUGUGUGUGUGUGCACGCACACACCCAGAAGCAGUAAGACCCCAGUAUCCAUGCGCACACCUAGUGCCCCCGAUCUUUAGUCCUAAACAGCAUUCUCCAAUAAAAGGAACCAAAGCUCCUUGAUUAGUGGUGGAUUCCAAGGAUAAGACAAGGAAAAUACAAGAGGAGAUGAACCUGAAACAUCUUAUGGUUCCAGAAAGUAAGGGCAAAAGAAAGAGAAGGGACAAGGAAGAAAUAUAAAGAAGGCACCACCUUGAAAAGACUCAGGCACCAAUCUGAAAGAGCUUCUCUUACAGUGAAAACAGCUGCAGGCGGGAUCUCGGUGAAUGGUGUCUGGAUUGAAUUAUUCUCCCGUGGGGAGUGGAAGGACUGACCCUGCAGAGCCCUCAACCUCAGGCUUCUGGCAUCCAAAACUGUGGAAGAAGACAUUUCUGUUGUUUGAGGCCACCCAAUUUCUGCUAAUUUUUUUCCAGGGAGCCCUAAGACAUGUAUACAGAUGGUAAAAUUAAAGGAUGAACAUUUAGGCAGAAAUAGGAUAGGUCCCUAAUCUCAAACUAUCUCCCCUCAAAUAUGUCUUCAUUACAGGGGGAAAAUAGUGACUUGACCAGAAUGAGAGAUGGUGGCCCCCACCUUGACCAAAUGGUGAGGAUGACAUCAUUCGUAACACACACCGACGUCAUCCCCCCCCCUUCCAGGGAGCAACGGGGAAGGACAUGCUUUUCAUAAUACAAACACCCAACCUGAGCAGGAGGAACAGCUGGCCCACGAGCUGCAGGGGGCGCCUUACAACAUAACUGAGCAGAACACUCUAACGUGGGAAGAUCAGGAAAACCCAGAAAAGGCUGAAGGACCAUCACACAGCGGAGGAGACUGUGGCCAACAACGAAACGCAGUGGGGGAUCCUGGAAGAGAACAAGGACGUUCUCGGGGUGAUUGUUGAGAUGGGAAUAAUGUGACUUAAUUUGCAGCCUUCUCCCGACGUUCAUUCCUUGUGCUCAUUGUUCUGCGGUUAUGUAAGGUGCUGCCAUUAAGCGAUGUGGGGUGAAGCGCAUACAAGAACGCUUUGUCCUGCUUCUGCAACUGUUCCAUCCAUCCAAAAUCAGCUCCAAACUUAAAAAAAAAAAUCAUCAGAAGAUAUGGGUGGCAUUUCUAUGGGGGGGAGGGGUGCUGGAAUCCAGUGAGGAAAGUCAGCCAAAGGAUCACUUGACAAUUCAGACAUAAGACAUCAGACUCUGCGAUACUAAGCUUGCUCAACUCUACGAACCACAACUGUACUCUCAGUACCCCGGGCAUCAACAAUCGGAUCAUUGAACAACUCGCUGUGUUUAACAUUUUUAUUUUGAACGCAGCUUUGGUAGUACAAAAGUCAUAGAAGUACAAACCAGACAGUUAAAAAUAACGUUUGACACUCAAAAUGGUGAAAAAGUUCCUUUACAAAUUUUUACAUCAAGGUGGUGGCCAACUCACUUAUUACAUCAGAAGUUAGUCCCCCGUUAGUGUUUUAUCGAGUAACUUUGUCGUAGGUCCCCCAGACCUCUGAAGAAAGAGGAAAUCCACAAAAGGCCUGUAAACAUCAGUUGCUUUGGGAACACUUGAGAAUUCUUAUUAGAGAAUAUAAACCUGUAAAAAGCAUAUGUGCUGAAAAAUACAGAAUGCUUAACUUUUGGCAUGUUUGAAAGCCAGCCGGACAACAACUGCUCAAGUAUUAGAAAAUACUUAAAACGUACUCUUGGUAUAAAUACAAUUUUAAAUAUUUCUGAGUAUUCUCUCGCCUGUUGUAUUGCUAUAAAAAGAAAGUGCUCUGACCUGAAUAAAAUUAAAAAUUAAUUAAAGCUGAAGAAUAUCUUACACUCUCCCUCACCAUUUGAGGGCAUAAUGUUUUUAUUUAUUUAUUUAUUUAUACUUUUUUUUUUUUUUUAAAGGGCCACACGUGCGGCAUAUGGAGGUUCCCAGGCUAGGGGUGGAAUCGGAGCUGCAGCCGCCGGCCUACACGAGAGCCACAGCAAUGCCGGAUCCGAGCCGCAUCUGUGAUCUCCACCACAGCUUGAGGCAAUGCUGGAUCCUUAACCCACUGAGCGAGGUCAGGGAUAGAACCCAAACCCUCAGGGAUGCCAGUCGGGUUCUUAAUCCACUGAGCCACAAUAGGAAUUCCAGGAAUAAUGUUUUUAAAACAAAAAAUGAUUCUUCUUUUUUAAAACUAAAACUGUUAGUAAACUACACAUACAUUAAAUACACUGAUACACACCCCUAAAACCCCUAUAUUGCUACUUUCUGGAUCUCAGUGAAAUUUAUUCCUGUUUUGGCUUCCUCUAGUCUACUGUGUGUACACGAUACACACAUGUACACCUUUUAAUUAGCUGUCAACAAAAAGUCACAUGAAACUGAAUCUACCAUUCAUGUAAAAGGUGAGAAAUUUUUAGUCUGGUACCAGAAAAAGAACGAGAAUUUUUUUCUUUUCAGGGCCAUACCCGCAACAUAUGGAAGUUCCCAGGCUAGGGUUUGAAUCGGAGCUGCAGCUGCUGGCCUAGGCCACAGCCACAACAACCCCAGAUCCAAGCCACAUCUGUGACCUACACCACAGCUCCCGGCAACACUGGAUCCUAAAGCCACUGAGCAAGGCUGGGGAUCGAACCCGAAACCUCAUGAGUACUAGUCGGGUUCGUUACGGCUGAGAAAUAAUGGGAACUCCUAGAAGGAGAAUAUUUACAGUAAAUACUUUAAAGUACAUUCUCAUGGGGAUCAAUUUUGGGGAAUCAAAUGAGAAUUGUGUUUUCUUUUUGAAAUAAAGGAAGAGCCCAAGGCAGCACAACCACCUUGACAUGAGGCAGGCCUUGGAGAUUUACUCUGAAACCGGACUUCUACGCCUUGGCCGCAUCCACUAUAAAUGUACUACGACUUUUGCCUCUGGGUCCUUUCAGGUGUUUUGUAAACUGUAAAGCUUAAAAAAAAAAAGUCAGGUGCUCCACGCCUCCAGGGGAAAGUAACCCUCAAGAAGCCUUUAAAUAACAGGCACCAGUUACAGGAUGGAGACCAGGAAACACACCAAGGAAAACACACCAGAGGAGGUAUCAGCCCAUUUGCCCCAGAAGUUGAGGUUCUCUUGUUUUGUUUUGGCCUUGGGUUGUCAAAACAAGAUUUUUUUUUUUUUAAAUGACUUUAAGCCAUUUCUCUCUUUAUUCAAUAGCAAAAUAAGAUUUACUUAGCUCGAGUUAAAAAAACAAACCAGCUGGGAGUUCCUUGGUGGCUCAGCAGGCUAAAGAUCUGGCAAUGUCACUUGCUAUGGUUCGGGUGGCUGCUGUGGCUUGGGUUCAAUCUCUGGCCUGGGAACUUUUGCAUGCCAAGGGCACAGCCAAACAAAAACAAAACAAAAAAAAAAACACCCCGAAAAACUCUUCCUAUUUUCUAAGUGACCUAAGAGUGGCAUGCUGGCAACAGGUCAGUGCUGAAGUCUGGUCUCUGAAUCCAAAGUCUAGCAUCUAGUUCCCUCUGACUCCAUGCUCUCUUGGGUGAUCAACUGCCCAGGGCCGGACCAGGUUACCUUCCAAGAGCCCUCACCACUGAAGACUCGCCUUUUAUCUUCUGUAACAGUAAAACUGUAAGACGAUCUUACAACCAGUAGCAAAAUGAGAUCCAAGGGCUGGGGGAACAGAAGCAGACGCACAGACAUACGUGUACACACACACACACACACCCCCCAAGCAUUAGCUCAGACUAUAUAGUUCCACUGUACACAGAGAUCAUACUGGAAAAACUGCAGUGUGUAUACCAAGGCCAUGAAGAGGGGAUGGGAGGCGGGGCGGAAGGUUUAAAAAUAAAAAUGAGCUCUUUUUCUCCUUGGAAAUGCAAUACAUUUUUCGUCAGUUUUGUUUUUUUUUUUUUAAACCAAAACUUGUUUCAAAGCAAACUGAGUUCUGUAUCCAGCAUAGCAACAAUAGUCCCUUUUAGCUUUCAUCCACAUGCCUGCAGACUCCACCAUAGAAAUUGUAUAAAAGAUAAAAAAAUAAUUCCCUAGGCAACUUCAUAUGUCGUAAGUUUUCAGUCUCUUAGAACUCUUCAAAUAUAGUCAUUCCUGCAAGAGAAAACAAAAAAAGGUUGAGCUUAUAAGAUAAGCAUCAUAUCACAUAUUAACCUGCCUGAAUAUUUAAAAACACAACAACGGUAAUGCGUCCUCACCACAGCACAUAACCAGCCCCCUGCAUUCCUUCCCCCAUGACACAUUUCUUCUUAGCAUUCAGUCUAAGGAAAUCUAAUGGCCACAAUUUCCAAAGGACCUCUUUAUCAGGGUUUUAUAAAGCAAGAGAGAACAGAACUUGAGAACCACAGCAGACAGAGGGGUUCGGUCUGUGUUAACAGCAGUUCCUGGGGUGACAGGAGGGGAUCCUCCCUGAGAGACCUGUACCACUUCUGCUUGGGAACCUGAUCUUGAACUCUUCAGCUACAUCCUGUCAAGCAAGGAGCAAUGGGAUGAAUGUGUUUAGUACAGGGCACCUUGUAGGUGCCAGGUAAGGUGUCUUUCCCAAGCCACACCAAACUGCACUAACUCUGCAUCUCCACUGAGCGAACGGGGCAGCGAGACUGGGACUUCUCGGGGCAAGAAGGAUGCCUCUGCAAUCUUAGGUCUUCACUGUACCUUGGAAGGCUCUGCAGUGAAUUUUUUUUUUUUUUUUGCCUUUUCUAGGGACGUACCUGCGGCAUAUGGAGGUUCCCAGGCUAGGGGUCCAAUCGGAGCUGUUGCUGCCGGCCUACACCAGAGCCACAGCAACGCGGGAUCCGAGCCAUGUCUGCGACCUACAGCACAGCUCACGGCAAUGCCGGAUCCUUAACCCACUGAGCAAGGCCAGGGAUUGAGCCCGCCACCUCACGGUUCCUAGUCGGAUUCAUUAACCAAGGAACUGCCUGCGCCGCAGUGGGAACUCCUCUGCAGUGUAUUUUUAAGCUCUUCUAACCACUCACAGGUCUGUGUCCAUGUCCAUAUUUACAUCACAAAGGAAGCCCCUCGUAAACCCGGCAAAUAGUUAUCUACUUUUCAAAGGUUUGUGCUGUGGUUCACAAUGGUCUCAUCUAGACGACAGUCAGUUACGUGUCCUUUAACUUUCCUCUUCUGAAGACCCGGGACAGGAGCGAAAUGCUACAUCAGCCUGUGUAGACUGCAGCAUACACACCACGCAGGCCGACCUACCCCCGGUUAAGGAAGAAAACCAUCUCUUGUUUCCCCAGACUGUGUUUGCCUAUGAACACUAAAGAGAGAUGAAACCAACUUGCAGAAAUAUGAAGAAAUAGCAAAAAAUCAAUAGGAUGUCUUUAUUGGAGUAUUAC